GUUGUUAAGUCCCCUGUUGUCGUCAUUGGCUAAGGCGUGCCUAGAAGCCCCUUCCCCGCACAGGGCUCCGCGAUUUCUCCCCAGUCUCGAGCUCUCCUGCCCUGGCCGCUUCAGGCGAGGCUACAGCAUCCCAGCCCUUGAGUGCGCGGUGGCCCCUCCGCAUCCCAGCUCCAGGGCUCUCAGAAUUGGGGAAACCCCAGGCCCCGUGCGGAGCUUCGAAAACCGACGGCGCCAAGCGGCACCUGCCGGGGGUCCUGACCUAGACGAACAAGAGUUCCAACCGUGCUCUAACAAGGACCUACAAGUGGCGGCAGGUGUGAGGGGCAGAGAGCAUUGAGCAGUUGAAGGUUUAACCCGGGGCUCAGCCACCCACUUUGCUGGGUUUCUGGCCAGAGUCCCUGGAGUUCUCCCGGAUAUGUCUCUGCGCACCCCACGCUCUUUCUGGUUCUCUCGAGCUAGGUGAUGGACCCACACCUGUUUGUGCCUCUGUCGGGAGGGGUUGGAGGACCCCCCCCCCCCGUGCAGGCUUGCGAAGGGAGGUGUUUCUUGGGGGAAGGUUGGU